AGUGAGAUAGCUGGGCCAAAUGGUAGUUGUAUUCCCAGUUUUCUGAGGAAUCUCCAUAAUGUUUUCUAUAGGGGUUGCACCAAUUUGCAGUCCCACCAGCAAU
rnacentral:pre_miRNA from 1 species